AGCUUUCCUGCCCUUGUAAAGUCAACUUUAAAAAGCUUGAAUUCCAUUUACAAAAAAUAUAUAUCUUAAUUAAUCAAGAUUUUUAAUACUUAUACCCAUUAAAACAAAAAAUUGAAGUUGAUGGAAUGUCAGCUUCAUAUGUUGUCCUGUUUAAUGUUCUUACACAAGCAUUUUCAGAUCUAUUAUGCAAAUGAAGAAACAGAGGCAGAAGUCAGUCUUACCUGAUGUAAGCAAAAGUUCAAGAACCAGUGUUGAAACUAUGCAGAAGUUUCUUACAGAAAAAGGGGUGAGGAAUUCAAACUAGACAAAGGGAUGUCAGAAUGUUUCAGCAACAACUCAAGCAGCUGAGCUACAUGGGACUGAAAUGUCCAAGAUACAUGUGUUGAAGAAGCAAAAGACAAUUUCUACUUUAUAACCAGUUCCUAAAUGUUAACAGACUAAGCAUAAAUUAAAGAAG